rnacentral:rRNA from 1 species
CCUACGGGUGGCAGCAGUGAGGAAUAUUGGUCAAUGGGCGCUAGCCUGAACCAGCCAAGCCGCGUGAAGGAAGACGGCCCUAUGGGUUGUAAACUUCUUUUGUAUGGGAAUAAAGUCCAGUAUUUAUACUUGUUUGCAUGUACCUUAUGAAUAAGGAUCGGCUAACUCCGUGCCAGCAGACGCGGUAAUACGGAGGAUUCGAGCGUUAUCCGGAUUUAUUGGGUUUAAGGGGAGCGUAGGCGGGGUGUUAAGUCAGAUGUGAAAGCUCGGGGCUCAACCGCGGAAUUGCAGUUGAUACUGGUAGGCUGGAGAGUAGGAGAGGUAGGCGGAAUGUGUGGUGUAGCGGUGAAAUGCUUAGAGAUCACGAAGAACUCCGAUUGCGAAGGCAGCUUGCUGGACUGCAUCUGACGUUGAGGCUCGAAAGCGUGGGGAUCAAACAGGAUUAGAUACCCGAGUAGUC